UGGGAAGUAAAAGUYGUAACAAGGUCUCCGUUGGUGAACCAGCGGAGGGAUCAUUACCGAGUUUUCAACUCCCUAACCCUUAUGUGAACCUACCUAUUGUUGCUUCGGCGGACUCGCCCCAGCCGGACGCGGACUGGACCAGCGGCCGCCGGGGACCCUCAAACUCUUGUAUUAUCAGCAUCUUCUGAAUACGCCGCAAGGCAAAACAAAUAAAUCAAAACUUUCAACAACGGAUCUCUUGGCUCUGGCAUCGAUGAAGAACGCAGCGAAAUGCGAUAAGUAAUGUGAAUUGCAGAAUCCAGUGAAUCAUCGAAUCUUUGAACGCACAUUGCGCCCGCCAGCAUUCUGGCGGGCAUGCCUGUUCGAGCGUCAUUUCAACCCUCGACCUCCCUUUGGGGAAGUCGGCGUUGGGGACCGGCAGCACACCGCCGGCCCUGAAAUGGAGUGGCGGCCCGUCCGCGGCGACCUCUGCGUAGUAAUCCAACUCGCACCGGAACCCCGACGCGGCCACGCCGUAAAACACCCAACUUCUGAACGUUGACCUCGAAUCAGGUAGGACUACCCGCUGAACUUAAGCAUAUCAAUAAGCGGAGGAA
rnacentral:rRNA from 1 species